AGAGUUUGAUCCUGGCUCAGGACGAACGCUGGCGGCACGCCUAACACAUGCAAGUCGAACGGAGAAAAUGAUUUCGGUUAUUUUCUUAGUGGCGGACGGGUGAGUAACACGUGAGGAACCUGCCUCUGAGAGUGGGAUAGCUUCUGGAAACGGAUGGUAAUACCGCAUAACAUAGUGAAACCGCAUGAUUUUGCUAUCAAAGUAUUUCGCUCAGAGAUGGCCUCGCGUCUUAUUAGAUAGUUGGUGAGGUAACGGCUCACCAAGUCGACGAUCAGUAGCCGGACUGAGAGGUUGAACGGCCACAUUGGGACUGAGACACGGCCCAGACUCCUACGGGAGGCAGCAGUGGGGGAUAUUGCACAAUGGGGGAAACCCUGAUGCAGCGAUGCCGCGUGGAGGAAGAAGGUUUUCGGAUUGUAAACUCCCUGUUCGUAAGGGAAGAGGAAGGACUGUACCUUACAAGAAAGCU
rnacentral:rRNA from 1 species